UCCCUUCUCAUUACCCACUUCUCAAAAACUAUGGGAUCCAAAGUGCUGUUAAGGCCUCUGGCUUGCUGGUGAAUUCAGCUGAAACUGGCCACUGUAUUUGAGUUCUUGAGGUGACACUGACAAAGGACAGAGAGAACACACAGAAGAGAAGAUCUAGGAAAAAAUCAACACAAUGGAAAUAAUAAGGAAACAGAGAGGAUGAAGAAAGGGAAGGAGGCAAUGAAGACAGCUUACAAGACCAAACCAAGUAUCUACUUCAGAAAGGCAGAAUCCUGUAGAGGAUAAAAAGUGCUCUAAAAGCAGUUCACGGGAAGGACAGCCUGGAUCCUAGACCAGACUACUUCACAACGAGAUGUAAGUUAUUUUUAUUUACAAGUAGCUACGUGCAGUCUUUCUGAAUUGUAAAAGCAGAUGAAAAUAUGCAAGUUGAGCCAGAGGAGAUAUUUGACUGAGAGUGGAACAAAGUAAUAAUGUAUGCAUGCAUUACUACAGUUAGGUAAUAAUUCUAACUUUUUGCCCACAAGCAAAGGGCUUUUUUUUUUUUCCCAAGAUGUGAUAGUAAGCUUUGUCUGCCUAUCCAAAAG